rnacentral:lncRNA from 1 species
UGAUAAAGCUUUUGACUAGUUAAUGAUGAUAUUACGUUUGCUUGUUUAUCAUAAUUUCAUUAGGCCAUGACUCAUUUAACUGUUCCAAACUCAUGAUCAGACAGACAUGUAUACUCAUAUGAUCGCUAUAAAUAAAUUCAUAACCACUUAUUUUACCCCUCAAAUUCAAGUAAACUUAAUCUUCUCGUGACAACAUCGACAGUCAACUGAACUAAUGAAGUUAUAAAUUGUUUUGUAUUAAUAAGUAAGAGAGGCUUCUUACAUUUUUUUUUCUCACAGUGAAACAAAACAAAUCUGAAUAAAUUCUAGUACCCCCACGGCAAAGUUACAUCUUCCUUUUACACCA